rnacentral:rRNA from 1 species
GAUGAACGCUGGCGGCGUGCCUAAUACAUGCAAGUCGAGCGAAGCGGGGACGGUGGAGAAACACGUGGAUAAGCUCCUAUAAGACUGGGAUAACGUCGGGAAACCGGAGCUAAAACGGAUACUUAUACAUGGAUCCGCGAUGCAUUAGCUAGUUGGGAAGGUAACGGCUUACAAAGUCAACGAUGCAUAGCCGACCUGAGAGGUGGAUCGGCCCCACUGGAACUGAGCCACGUCCCCGACUCCUACGGGAGGCAGCAGUAGGGAAUCUUCCGCAAGUGGCGAAAGCCUGACGGAGCAACGCCGCGUGAGUGAUGAAGGUCUUCGGUUCGUAAUACUCUUUUAUUAUGGAAGCGGUACCUAAUCAGAAAGCCACGGCUAACUACGUGCCAGCAGCCGCGGUAAUUC